UGGUUUCUAGAACAGAUCUAACGGUUACGGAUCCUGUUUGUGCACUUUUUUCUUUUUCUUUUUUUGACGCACGCAAAUGGAGGCUACGUACGGUUCAGUGACAGUUACUCUUACUAACGGCUUGUUAAUGUGCGCCGGCGAGGUUUUGACUACUUUGCUUGUUUCUGCUCUCUUCAAAACCCAACUCCUCAAGGCUCUGGUAAGUUGUGUUAUUAUUCAUUUUGUUAUUGCUAGAAAGGGUUUUCUUACAUUUUUGCCUAGCUUGUUGUCCUUGAUGCUAACGGGCGCUUUUGCUAUUUAGUACUUGAUUUUCCUAACAGGGUUCCUGCUUUUUCUUGGGUCUCUGUUUGUGUUUUUAGUUUCUCUUUGGUGAGCGUGUUUCAUGUUUAAUUUUAUGCUAACCUGCGCCGAAGGCAGCUGGUUUUGGACCUUUGGUCUGGUAUUUGCCAUCCACGUUGCUAACAUGCGCCACAGUGCCUUUUUUUAGGGGUGUGGACGUUUCUUAGGUCUGGCUUAACGUGCGCCAAUCCUUAGGUGUACGUGGCAUUAUCUUGCUUUUUUGCUUUUAUAUGCAUACUUUAGGCUAAAGUGCGCACCGGCUUGGUAUUUCAGGGGGUGGUUGGUAAUGAGUUUUAAGCUGUAUUUUUGUUAAAUCUGAAUAUUUUUUUGUUUUAAAUUAUUUUUUUAAUUUCUUGUAUCGUUUUGAUGUUUUGAUAUCAAAAAUAAUUUUUUUAAAAUAAAAAUAAUAUUAUUUUAAUAUUUUUCAGAGUAAAAAAUAUUUUGAAAAAUAACCAUAUUAAUGAUUUGUUUAAGACAGUUUGAGUUGUUGGUUUUGUUUGCACGUGUGAGCCGGUUGGAAUUUAAAAAAUAAAAUAAAAAUCUCUGUUUUAAUUUUUUUUUUGAUGUCAUGUUGUAAUGGGAAAAGUCAGGUCAAGUGAGAAGCAUCUUUUGAUGGGGGAAAGGCUGUGUUCGAAUAUUAUUUUCGUUGUGUCUUAUGUUAUGUCAUAGGAGAUAUAACUAUUCCUAGACGACACGUGUUAUUAUUUUAUUUCAUAAAUUCUUAUAAAUAUAAAAAAAAAUGUAAUAAUGAUAUCUUGAUUAUUUCAAGAUGAUAAAUCAGCCAGAGUAGGAAGGGUCUCCACUUUUUGGCAUUUACUGUGAUUUGUCUCUUCCAGCUAUGUGUUUGCUUGCGCGUUUUGGCUUGUCCCACUCCCAUCAACUUGCUUUAUUUUAUUUUAUUAUUCACCACACCAGCCUAAAUUUGUUUAAAUGAAACCAAUAGAGUUUGAAAUGGUCGAGACCCAUUAAAAUAAAGGAGUGAAGUUGUUGAGGGUCGCAAGUUUUAUGUCGUGGCGUAACCUGCUCCGAAUCUUCUAGGUUUAUUCCCCCCCGAAUAGUCAUAGGUGAAGUCACCAGCCUAAUUGAGACGAUAAAGAUGUAAAAGCCACUAUUUUUAUUAAUUUGCUAUUAUGAUCCAUGAUGGAAUCUUUGUACUGAUGCUUUGAGUUUCUCGUAAGUGAGAAAAAGUUGUCCAAACAAUGAAAGAUGAAUUAUAUAUGGAAUCUUGAUUUAGAGUAGUGUGGCCGGUGAAGGGAUGUUUCUCCUGUAUGUGAAGGGAACCUCAUUUCCCUUUCCCAUUGUGGUUGCGGUAUAUAUUCCAGUUGCACCGGGGUCAUGUAGCUCUUUCUUUUCAAAAUUAGGAACAAAGAAUUAUAUACUGUAAAAAAGGGAGAAAAGAACCUGGUUCGCUUUGUAAUGCUCUUUAUUAUGUACUUUAGUGGCUACCUCUUUAAAUGGAGGUACUUUAAUAAGUUUAUGGGCCUUAAUGCUCUCAGUUAUUCGGUCUACCGCACUUUUUGAUACCUUCUCAUCACCCAGCUGAGAAUUCAACUCUUAUUUAUAUACUUUUUUUUUCCCCCUAAUCUACAAUCUUUUCCCACAUGCUUAUGGUAUUAUGGGAUUAAAUAGGUGUCCUAAAUUGAUGUAGUUAGAAGUUGAAAAGUUUCUAAGGCCAAUAGAAACAAAGAAUGUUUAGUUACUGGUUGUUUUCACUUUCGAAAUUAAACUUGCAAAAUGAAGCCAGCCUCUUUGAUUUCCUAAAUAUAUUUUUAUUCAUCAAGUGGUGAAAGUGUUCCAAGCGGCUAGACAUCGAUUUCACGGGUAAAAUCGUCUUAAGAGUUUUUUUAUAUGUUUGCUUGCUGCACUACAUGUCUACGCCGUUGCUGUCUUCUUAAUAUUUUGUUUGUCAUUUAAGCAUAUGCGAUGGUGCUUUUUUAUUUAGCUCGUUCUUGGGAAACUAUAUUGUAUUACUAUACUAUUUAAUGUACUAAUUUGGAGACAUUGUGUCCAGCAAUCUUUCAUUGCCCAUGAUAUACAAAGUCUCCGUUUGACCUGCUAUGAAAUGCUAUUUUGUAAAAAUGGUUUCAGGAUCCCAGUGGGUUGUUGCUGACUAACAAACCUAGAAUGGACGGAGAUGAGGCACAAGGCCAUGACAAGCCAGUUGAUGCAGAAGGAGAUGAUGACAAUGAUGAUGACGAUGAUGAUGAGGAGGAAGGGGGUGAUGGAUUAGGAGAAGGUGAAGAGGAAUUGUCCUCUGAAGAUGGAGGUGACUUGGGCAACAAUCCCAACAAUAACAAGAGUAACUCAAAGAAGGGUCCAGGUGGUGGAGCAGCAGGUGGGGCAGAAGAGAAUGGAGAAGAGGAAGAAGAUGACGACGAAGAAGGCGAAGGUCAAGAUGACGACGACGAUGAUGAAGAUGACGACGACGACGACGAUGACGGUGGAGAAGAGGAUGAAGAAGAAGUUGAGGAGGUAGAGAAUGAGGACGAGGAAGAAGAAGAUGAAGACGAGGAAGCCCUCCAGCCCCCAAAGAAGAGGAAGAAGUGAAGUAGGAGAAUAGUGGAGCCUCCUCAGUUCAGUUAUACUGUUUGUUUCUCAGUGACUUGUUAACUUUGUCGAUCUUCUUAGAUUACGAGGGGGGCUGUUUAGGAUAAUGGUAUUAUGCAUAAUUAUCGUACUUUCCAUGCAUGGUUAGAGUACACUCUAGAACUGUGAGCUGCGGCGGCAAUGAUUAAUUCGAAAAAUGUAAUGAUUAUGAUCUUUAAGCCACAUUUAAUCAGAGUUUCUAUUGUUGCUGAUAUACUGCUGCUACUUGCAAAUGGGUUGGUUUUAUGG
rnacentral:lncRNA from 1 species